GCUGGGUACAGUGAUGCGUGCCUGUAGUCCCAGCUACUCAGGAGGCUGAGGUGGGAGGAUCACUUGAGCCCAGGAGUUCUGGGCUGUAGUGCACUAUGCCAAUCGGGUGUCCACACUAAGUUUGGCAUCCCCCGGGAGCGGGGGACCAUCAGGUUGCCUAAGGAGGGGUUAACCGGCCCAGGUCAGAAACAGAGCAGGUCAAAACUCCUGUGCUGAUUAGUAGUGGGAUCGUGCCUGUGAAUAGCCACUGCACUCUAGCCUGGGCAACAUAGUGAGACCCUGCCUCUA
rnacentral:SRP_RNA from 1 species